rnacentral:rRNA from 1 species
UACAGAGGUCUCAAGCGUUGUUCGGAUUCAUUGGGCGUAAAGGGUGCGUAGGUGGCGCGCUAAGUCAGGUGUGAAAUUUCGGAGCUUAACUCCGAAACUGCAUUUGAUACUGGUGUGCUUGAGGACUGGAGAGGAGACUGGAAUUCAUGGUGUAGCAGUGAAAUGCGUAGAGAUCAUGAGGAAGACCAGUGGCGAAGGCGGGUCUCUGGACAGUUCCUGAUACUGAGGCACGAAGGCCAGGGGAGCAAACGGG